UCCUUAACCCAAUGAGCAGGGCCAGAGAUCGAACCUGCAUCCUCAUGGAUGGUCGUCGGGUUUGUUACCUCGGAGGCAGGACGGGAACGCCUCCUCUUUUCCCCUCUCCAUUUCCUUUUGAACUGAAACUGAGAUCUGUAAAGUUCAGUCUAAGAGGAGCUUUCCCUGAACCCUUGUCUCCACCCACUGACAAAGGGAAGCAGAGGCUUCUCCAGCCUCCCCAGGUCUGUGUCUCCUUGGACAGUAAGCUGUUCCAGGUCAGGGCAUGGGUCACUGCUGACAAGCUGGGUCCUGUGCCAGGGAGCAAAGCCUCCAGCCUGAGCCCACCAGCCUCAGACUUUGAGCCCAGCCGUGUUCGGACACCUCGGGGUUUUAUUUUCUGUAGCCUCUGAGGGAGACUCGGGGCUGUGGAGCUGGUUACCGUGCUUCUCAUGAGAGAAGCCCUCGACACCAGGCUGCCUCCCCUGAACCCGUGUCCCUGGCAAGAAGCCUUCCUGCAGGGCUGCCAGCACUAAUUAGCAUUAACAGGGCUGCCUGCCAAACUCCCUCACUGCCUCAAAGUGUGGGACGCUUCUCUGCUUAGAAGGAGGUUUUGGUCAUGGCUGCAUUGGGGCCUCCAUAAAUCACUGGAUCUAAACUCCUUGGAGAAGCAGUUAAGACAAGUUUCCUAAUUUCGUCCUUUUCUGGCAGCUACAGCAUUGCACUUUCCCCCUUUCCUUAAAAAAAUAUCAACCAAUGCCUAAAGAACAGAGAGGGCUUUAUUGUUACUCGGCCACUGCUCCUGAUCCUUAUCAACAGCUCUCCGAGAAAGGCCCUCCAAAAUCUCACCGCAGCAUCUUCAUUUACUGAAAUACCCUUUCCGGGAUUUUUGUGUCACGUCAGCUCAAAUGGAAACAUUGCUGAAGCUGCUUUGAUUCUGAGCUUGCCGCUGGGUCAGUGAUGAGGAUGACCCGCUUUUCUCUCCCACCCUCUUCCCCGGCUCGUCCCCCGCCGCCCAAGAAAGCACCUGGAAGAAACCCAGCUUCUCAUGUGGCUAAAUAAACAGGAGGACCUGUGACUCAGCACGGCUGGGGCGGCUGGAGGAGGAGCGAAGCGAGUGCCAGACCCACGCUGUGAGCCUCUUCCUUCUGGGAAACCUGAGUCACAGCGGGAAGCGGGAGCUGGGCACUGGCGCAGAGCUGAGUGGGAGUGCGCGGGCACGCACAUGCGUACGUGUGCGUGGUCAGGCCCCUCAGGACAGCCCUUCCGGCUGGUCUCUUUCUCUCUGUACAGCCCCUGCUCCCACUCCAGGCCCCUGGCUGCCCCCAGCCCCAGUUGGUGACUGCUCUCAUCCUUGGACCAGAGGCUCCACCUGCUGAUUCGUUCAAGGGAAACAACCUGCCCUCCUGACGCUUGUUAACCUGAGGGGCUGGGGACCUGCAGCCGCUGGUCUCCCUGGUAACUGAGGAGCCCAUGUGACGUCAUUUCCCCUGAAAAUAUCAGUUCCCCACCCGCAACACCCAGGAGUGAAGGUUGCUGCCAAGUCCUGGCUGCUGUGUGCUGUCCCAUGGUGGGAUGUUGCUGCAGGACCGUUGUUUCAGACGUGUGAAGCCCCCUGUCCAAUAAGCCAUCAAUGUCCCUGUCGCUGUCUCCAGGCUUUUUCUUCAGGCCUGAGGCUGGACGACUCCAAGGCUCGCAGGCCUGCGGGGUGAAGCCCAACAGUGUGAGGGAGAGUCUGUGUGUGGGUCAGUGAGUGUGUGUGUGUUGGGGGGGGGAGUCUGUGUGUGAACUGGACCAAACGUGGAAGUGUGAUUGUGCAUAGGAAUGAGACACUGAGUGAGUGUGAGACUGUGUUCGUUUGUGUGCCUGUGUCACGCACACACAUGCUGCCUUCCGCCCACAGGGCUUUCAAAGGAAAAGGCCUUGAAACAACGGGCACCCGACUUCAACCAGUUCUACAGACCUGGGGCUAGAUGACAACCAGCCCCUCACCGCCUCCCUCCCGCUGCUCCUCGGCCAACCCGUGCCAGGGGCCGGAAAGGCUUCAGAGAGCGUCCUUUUCCAGCAGCGUGCACCUGUUUGUUUACUUGGGGGUCAUUCUGGGUUAACUCAGGAAGAGUUUACAAAGUUCUCAAGUUCUGUGCCAGGUGUGUGGGGCUGUCGGUCCUGCCCAGCUCAUGAGGACAAGCAAGACGAUGCCGCCACUGGGCAAGCUCACCACUGCCCCAGACCCCUGCCCACUGGCAUUGCUCACCCACUAGGGGUGAUAAGGGCAGGUGGGGGGCAUCUUAAAAGGAGAAGGUAACUGGAAACCCAAAGUGGCCUCAACCAGGAAAGAAGAGCCAGAUGAGUCUUGACUGAAUGCUUUCCAAGGGUGAGGUCAUUCAUUCCUGCAGAGAAGCCCAGGAGCCUGGUACUGUUUUACAGAGGAAAUGCCCCCUAGCCUUGGAGAAGCUUGUCCCUACACGGCGGGAAUGGUAUAACCUGGAUUCUAAACUCCUUCUGAUUCUAGACCAUUCUCUUUCCUCAACACCAAGCGCUCUCAGAUAUUUUUUAAAGUGUUAGAAAACAUAGACUUUCUCUUUUCCAUAUAUUUUAUAGGAAAAACCAUCUUUGGAGCUGGGAAAGGGCCGGAGGUUGUCUGGGAAAAUAAGCUUGGACACUGAAAGCCGUGUGAACUUUGACCUGGGAUCCUAACCUCUGCUGCGUGAGCCGCUCUGCAGGGGGCCAAUCAGAAAGCAGAUCCCAUGAAAUUGCAUGACUGUCAGAACCAAAACCUGGGAUGUCCUCCUUACUGAGGAUGUUAUAACCUAAAUCAGUGGGUCUCAACCAAGAGCCACUCUGGCCCCCAGGGUGCAUUUGGCAAUGUCUGGAGAUGAUUUUGGUAGUUGCCAUUGGUGGUGGAGGUCACAGGCCCAGCAAGGCUGCUGAACUCUUCACAGUGCACAGGACAGCCCCACCACAAAGAAUGAGCUGGCUCAAAAUGUCACUAGAGCAAUUCCUUUUUUUGCCUGCUGGUCAAUGGCCUGAAGCGCCCCAAAUGAUGGUGGCCGCAAUUCCAUCACAGCGCCCAGGAGGAAGCAGGACCUGUAAGCCAGUGGAGCCUAAAGGUGCAGCUUCCACAGGCAGCACCAGUUACCUGGGGGUGAGGGACUACUGCUCCAGACACAGCCCUGGAUUUCAGCUGGCGUCAUAGCCUGUGUGUGGCAGCCUGGGAGACUGAGCCCUGCCGUGUUUCUUGUCCCUUUAUAAAACUCUUACAGUCUCCA